UACGUAGGGCGCAAGCGUUGUCCGGAAUUAUUGGGCGUAAAGAGCUCGUAGGCGGCUUGUCACGUCGUGUGUGAAAGCCCGGGGCUUAACCCCGGGUCUGCAUUCGAUACGGGCAGGCUAGAGUGUGGUAGGGGAGAUCGGAAUUCCUGGUGUAGCGGUGAAAUGCGCAGAUAUCAGGAGGAACACCGGUGGCGAAGGCGGAUCCCUGGGCCAUUACUGACGCUGAGGAGCGAAAGCGUGGGGAGCGAACAGG
rnacentral:rRNA from 1 species